AGAGUUUGAUCAUGGCUCAGAGCGAACGCUGGCGGCGUGCCUAACACAUGCAAGUCGAGCGAGAAAGGCCCGCGAGGGCUGAGUACAGCGGCGAACGGGUGCGUAACACGUGGGUAAUUUACCCUCAAGGCGGGGAUAACUCAGCGAAAGCUGGGCUAAUACCGGAUAAGACUCCGGCAGAGGACUGCCGCAGCCAAAGGGUGCUCCCGGAUACGGGGGCAUGUCCUUGAGGAGGAGCCCGCGACCUAUCAGCUAGUUGGUAGGGUAACGGCCUACCAAGGCAGAGACGGGUAGCUGGUCUGAGAGGAUGACCAGCCACACGGGGACUGAGACACGGCCCAGACUCCUACGGGAGGCAGCAGUCGGGAAUCUUGCGCAAUGGGCGAAAGCCUGACGCAGCAACACCGUGUGGGCGAUGAAGGCCUUCGGGUCGUAAAGCCCUGUUGUUGGGGACGAAGGGCGAAGGGUUAAUAGCCCCUAGCCUGACGGUACCCUUCGAGGAAGCCCCGGCUAACUACGUGCCAGCAGCCGCGGUAAUACGUAGGGGGCGAGCGUUGUCCGGAAUCAUUGGGCGUAAAGAGCGCGUAGGCGGUCCGGUAAGUCCGCCGUGAAAGCCAAGGGCUCAACCCUUGGAUGCCGGUGGAUACUGUCGGGCUAGAGUCCGGAAGAGGCGAGUGGAAUUCCUGGUGUAGCGGUGAAAUGCGCAGAUAUCAGGAAGAACACCUAUGGCGAAGGCAGCUCGCUGGGACGGAACUGACGCUGAGGCGCGAAAGCGUGGGGAGCAAACAGGAUUAGAUACCCCAGUAGUCC
rnacentral:rRNA from 1 species